GACAAAAUAUUGUUCUUUACAUAGAAAAAAAAAAUUCUCACCAAAGAUUAGCAUGGCCCCUGCGCAAGGAUGACACGCAAAAUUGUGAAGCGUUCCACAUUUUU